CAGUAGCCGCGGUAAUACGAAGGGGGCUAGCGUUGUUCGGAUUUACUGGGCGUAAAGCGCACGUAGGCGGACUUUUAAGUCAGGGGUGAAAUCCCGGGGCUCAACCCCGGAACUGCCUUUGAUACUGGAAGUCUUGAGUAUGGUAGAGGUGAGUGGAAUUCCGAGUGUAGAGGUGAAAUUCGUAGAUAUUCGGAGGAACACCAGUGGCGAAGGCGGCUCACUGGACCAUUACUGACGCUGAGGUGCGAAAGCGUGGGGAGCAAACAGGAUUAGAUACCCGCGUAGUCCCUGUCUCUUAUAC
rnacentral:rRNA from 1 species